GGUCUUGUGGUCUAGUGGUAUGAUUCUCGCUUAGGGUAUCCUAAGCUCAUUUGCGAGAGGCCCCGCGUUCGAAUCGCGGCAAGACCC